UACGUAGGGUGCAAGCGUUGUCCGGAAUUAUUGGGCGUAAAGAGCUUGUAGGCGGUUUGUCGCGUCGGCUGUGAAAUCCCGAGGCUCAACCUCGGGUCUGCAGUCGAUACGAGCAAACUAGAGUGUUGCAGGGGAGACUGGAAUUCCUGGUGUAGCGGUGAAAUGCGCAGAUAUCAGGAGGAACACCGGUGGCGAAGGCGGGUCUCUGGGCCGUAACUGACGCUGAGGAGCGAAAGCGUGGGGGAGCGAACAGG
rnacentral:rRNA from 1 species